rnacentral:rRNA from 1 species
UACGUAGGAUGCAAGCGUUGUCCGGAAUUAUUGGGCGUAAAGAGCGCGCAGGCGGUCUAUCAAGUCAGAUGUGAAAUAUCCCGGCUUAACCGGGAGGGGUCAUUUGAAACUGGUAGACUAGAGUACAGCAGAGGAUAGUGGAAUUCCCGGUGUAGUGGUGAAAUGCGCAGAUAUCAGGAGGAACACCGGUGGCGAAGGCGGGUCUCUGGGCCGAUACUGACGCUGAGGAGCGAAAGCGUGGGGAGCGAACAGG